rnacentral:rRNA from 1 species
UACGGGGGGAGCAAGCGUUGUUCGGAUUUACUGGGCGUAAAGGGCGCGUAGGCGGCGCAACAAGUCACUUGUGAAAUCUCCGGGCUUAACUCGGAGCGGUCAAGUGAUACUGUCGUGCUAGAGUGCGGAAGGGGCAACUGGAAUUCUCGGUGUAGCGGUGAAAUGCGUAGAUAUCGAGAGGAACACCUGCGGCGAAGGCGGGUUGCUGGGCCGACACUGACGCUGAGGCGCGAAAGCUAGGGGAGCGAACGGG